rnacentral:lncRNA from 1 species
GUACAUGGCACAUUGCUUCAGUACCUGUUCAAGUUAUGUUGAGUCUGGGUCAGAAUCAUUGGCACCUUUUCUGACUAAUGACAAGUCUGCCAUAGGAGUGGGAAUUCAGGUUCUAGUCACUCCAUCAGGGCCAAGAUUGACAGGGUAAUCUCAUGAUAUACCUGAAGAAAAGGAGGUUCCUGGGAGAGGCAAUCCGGCAUGAAGAAUUGGCAUAAUAGGUGUGACCUCAAUAGGAGUGACCACCGGAAGGAAAGUUCCCCCUAAAUCACACCAGGGGUAAAAUGGGGAUAUGAGUAGAAGGAAUUGUGAGUGAGGAACCUGACACAACAGGGCUAUAAGACAGUUUGUAGCCUGAUGGCUGGAAGGCUGGAGGCCUAGAGGGCUGGCACAGAGGCCCCUCCUCCUAAUCACUGAGAUCAUUCUGUUUGCCAGGUCUUUAUUGAUAUAUCAGAGUCACUGAAUGGAUUUGGGAGAACUCUGACUCUAAAAAGAAAUUGUUCAGCACGUUUUAAAGGAUGAGACCACGAAGUGAGGAGGAAGACCUCAGAAAGAUAAACAUGAAUAUGCUGCCUCAAAUCUUUUCACCACAGUGCUGAUGUGUAGAUGAAGAUCUGGGUUUUAAUUUUCUGUCAGCUUCAUCAGGGAUAAAAAAAUAUGACAUCCAAGGUAGGAAAUGGUAAUCAAACCGGGAUCUGAG